rnacentral:tRNA from 13 species
GCCGGUGUAGCUCAGGGGUAGAGCAACUGAUUCGUAAUCAGUAGGUCGCAGGUUCAAUUCCCGUCACCGGCA